rfam:Asian citrus Psyllid, Diaphorina citri - Florida Strain, whole genome shotgun sequence.
GGCCCGUUGGUCUAGGGGUAUGAUUCCUGCUUUGGGUGCAGGAGGUCCCGGGUUCAAAUCCCGGACGGGCCC